CCUUGAAGGUGCUUGCGCUCCAGGCGCCAGGGGCCCCACGUGCUCAUGCUGUCUCCGAAGACAAGAUGGUGAGCCGUGCUCGUGCCCCCACCCCGCGUGCAAAAGCUUUCUCCGACGACAAGAUGAUGAGCCGCGCAAACUUGCCUCACUGCUACUAGUGAUUUGAAGUUAACCGGUGCCUAAUGAUUUGAUGUUACUGACAAUCUUUAAUCUAGUCAUGUAAAUUAGUAUUGGUGCUUAAUUAAUUACUUGAUGCGUAUGUGCAAGAAUUACGUGAUUGGUUUGUCCUUGGACAUUUUAAUCGUAGCAUUCUCAUCUGCCAGAUGGAGGGGAACGAGAUGAAGCCGGUCCAGGGGGUGCCGCCCAUGCUGGGGAGCAUUGCGGCUUAAAGCUCGGUGGGUAAGUACUCCAUACUGUUUUCUCUGUCAAUAUCACGGCUGGUUUUUCGUCAUCAUUAGUAUUCUGAUAUUGGACUGAAGCUGGUUACAUCUGUCCAUGCUGGAUUUUUGGUAUCAUUUGUAUACUGAUAUUGGACUGAAACUUCUUACCUCGAUCCAUGCUGUUUUUUUUGUCAUCAUUAAUAUAAUGAUAUAUUGGACUGAAGCUGCACAUAUUUUCUUUCCAUUAACGUGGUCGGGCGGUGGUACGCGUCACCCGGGCCAUCCUGGCCACCUUACCCACCUCAUUUUAAUCAAAUUCCACCUAAUUUGUUUUUUCACUAGCCACGUAUACAAACGCAAGCUCCGGCACUGUGUUGCAGCAUGGGAGACACAUGAACUGUAAUAAGAAACAUGCAAUCGCUAGAAACAUCUCCGUACAUUUUUUGGCAUGUUUUAUGUGUCAACAAGAUUAGUCGGCUCACAGCCAUCGGAUCCGACACGUGGAGCAUUGAAUCACACUACACGGCAGGAGAGAGAGUGGAACCCGUCUUACUCCAUAUACUCCACAAAACCUGUGUAUCCUCCACCCCUCCCCCAUCGUCGCAAUAGACUAUUACGUCAGCCCAUCACAGCACCCGACAACCGUGUCCUGGAGCAUCUCUGAUGUUGCCUACGUAUCCUGCAAGCAUUAUCACAGUGCGCUAGCGAGGCAUCGUCCUUGCAACAUUGUCUUACAUCCAAAGUAGUUGAUGCGACCACAACCAUCACCCCUUUGUCGCAUGGGUCGUGGCUUGUGGCACUGGUCGUCGGAUAAAAAACACGCCGCAAGAACCUAUGGUUGCAGUACUGCGAUCUAUGCAACUUAGGAAUUGUUGCGACAGCCCCUACCCCAGCAACACCGGCCAUAUUUGUAGCAUAGAUGAGAAGAUGGUUAUAGCACCCGACGAGGGUAUAUGUUCGCAGCACCACGAGCGAGCACUGCCUUAAAACAUCGGCUAUUGCGAUGCAGCACUAACGAACACCCUCACAGCCAUGAAACGUCAUGUGCCUUGGAUCAUGUAGCAUAGUGCUCCUCUUUCAGCAUAUAUGGUUGGCUUGUAGCAGUGAUGGUCGCAGAGUCGCAGCACCCUUGGGUGGCGGUGCUAGCCCAACACAUUGUCAUAGAGAAAGGGGAACAAAGGGUGGGUCUGCAUGUGGUCGAAAUAACGCGAAUGGGUGAUAUGGUGAAGAGAGAAGAAGACAAACGAGGGGGGUCUGGCGCUAGAGUGUGCUGACUCAUUUCCUCCUAAAAUCUAUCCGUUGAAAAUAAUUCCAUUUUCUUUCGAGAAACCUCAUACAAACGUCGCAACAUGCGAGCAUGUCUAUACAAAAAAUUGUAGAUAUACAACACAUACUCAUUAACUGCAACAAAUAGGUGAAAAAGACAAUGUAUGUAGGCCUGAACCAAUGGAUCAUCGUCAUGCAUCUGCUUGCUCUUACUAGGUUACGCCCACCCCAGAGCCCUCUUGAUAGUGUAAGAAUGACAGAGCACCCUACAUUCAGUUUGAUAAUAACCUGGCCGGGGUACCACACAUCAUAAUCGUCAAGAUCAACCUAUCUGAGAAACCAAGUGCCCUCAUCAUCAGAUCGAGGAAAAUCUAAACCAUCCUCUUAUGGGCUUUCGUCAUGUAUAGUGUAAUUGUGAACAUUAGAUUUUGCUAUUCCUUGAACAAACAUACUUUGUUCCUCCGUAAUCAUUUUGGAUAGUACAACCUUCAAUCUAUUUGCUAGGCCUUUGAAGUAAUCUGACUGAGUGUGUUAAUUAAGCUUAUUGAUUCGAUUUGAGGAAGUAUCUCCAGCGAGUAAAUUUGGGGAUCACGACUAGAACCGUAUCAUUGAAUUUUUCUGGUGCAACAACUCCAUUAAAAAAAUCCCCUAUUACUAUGUGUACAUCAUUUUUUAACAACGACUAGUGAAAUUCGUAAACAUAAGUUGAGAGGUUCUCUGGCCCUGCACUUUUGUCAGUCCAAUUUAGAAUAGUGCAUUCUCAAUUUCUUCAUCCAUCACGUCUGCGUUCAUCCUCUCCUCCAUAUCACUAGUCACACAAGGUUGGAUGUGAGCUAAGAUGUGGUCAGCUUCAGCAGAGCUUUCUGAAGAAAACAAUUAAGCAUAGAAAUCGGCCAACAUCUUCCCCAUCUCAUUGUCAACCAUUCAUCUUGUGCCACCCGCCCUCAUGCCAUCCGCCCUCAUUCUCAAUUCCAGUCGAGAACGUUGCUUAUACAUUAUUUGUUCCCAUGCAUGAACCACAUGAAGCUACACUUCAAUCUCGCUGAUCUCUAGUGAGGAUCUGGAACCCAACGCUAUGUCCUCUAAAUCGAAGCUGGACCUUGUGCCUAGUAAUCUCACAACAUAUGAAACAAAAACACCGAGCCACUCCAAUGUUGCAUAUCAUUGGUGACAUUGUUAAUCAUCCCAUACAAUGCACUCUGGCCGGAAUUAUUAUCACAUGCACACUCCCACGCCUCAAUGGGGCAUCCACCUCUCUUACUUGUGUAAUGCCCUCUUCUUACUUUUGUAAUGUCCAGGUUGUCUAGCACUCUAAUAAUGAGUGAAGCAUGGUCUGGUCCUUUAUAAGAACAUGUUCAAUGGAUGUAUCAUAGAAUAAAUGCAUGAAAACAUCAUUGCUUGAACCCCUGUCCAAAUAUACCUAAAUGAUCUCAUCUUCCUCCCUCUAAUUGUCCCAUGUGUACGGGUAGCUACUAAAACAAAUGUAUGAAAAGCUAUUAUUGGCUACACUCUCCCUAACGCGCUCCAUUUGUGUGAAACUCAUCAUGUAAUCUCCUAGUUGCUGUGAUUCAAACAAUACUUUGUUGAGGCAUCAUUGUCACAGAUAAAUAUAUAUUAGCGUCCAGUCUCUCGGAGCCUCUCUUAGCUACACAAAUUUGCUCUGAUCUGACUUCCUAUCCAGUAGCUUUAGCUGAUAAGCCUUGACGCUUUAGGUGAUGAGCACCACUCUGCCUUGUCUUAUGAACACAAGUGCCUUGUCUGCGUUGCCUCGAGGUAGAUGGGUCAUCCUUUCCCAAAACCUUGCACCCUUUCCAGUAUAGAAUUUUUUAUUUCUUGCUUCCUUUUAUAUUCCGUCCUUAGCUCCCACUUCCUUUUCAGCUGAAAAUCAUCCCUUAGUUCAGAAGCAUGUCACCAAUCUUGACUGCACUACGUCGUUCUUAGACAAUUACCAUCUACACGAUCAUCUUGAGGUUCUUCACUAUUGUGACAGUCCAAAGAGGGAGUAUAAUCAUUGUAUCACCAGCGCCUAAAUGGGAGGUCAUGCAACUCUGCAUGCCCGCCCUUGCAUGACCUUGUGCUCCCAAAACUAAAGUGCUUUCUGUCGCCAACUUCUACUCAGUUUCUGUCUGUGAGAAGCUAUGUCCGAGUGAUACCCUCAAUCCUUCACCCAACUGAGGUGAGGAAUCAACAUAUCGUUCAGAUCGUCCAUCAAUAUGUGCUAGUCUGCCGCAGGCAAUCCAAAAGUGAGGUAUCUUCUCAAAUUAAAAAUCAAACAAGGUCCCCUCUCUUUAGCUGAAGAGUGGAGAAAGAAGCCUCGGACCAGUGAAACAAUUAUGAAAAUUCUAGCUCUAACUCUGACAUGGUCCCCCCCAUAAAUUCAUCCUUCUGGACGCGAAACUUUAGCACGUCACCAAGCCAAUUCCCGAGAGCAUUCCGAAAAGUAUAUGAUCAUAUAUAUAGGAGAAGAUCCGUCAUUCUCAUACAUGGCUCCGUCAUACAAAACAUUAUCUUCGACAGCCUAGUUUUACAAUCAUAAUCCUUCAAAACUAUCACACUAAAACCAGAUUGCCACGGUCCAUUAUAUAGAGUGUGCUUCUAGACUCCUUUGUUGGCGAAUCUCAAGAAGAAGAUAUUAUUGCCAAUGUGACUUAUUUGGGCUUACUAGUAGAGUCCUCAUGCCUUUCGCAUAGCCUUGUGAAACAUGUUGAUGUUGCUUUGCUGGAGUGAGCAUGCCUUUACAACUGCCGACCGCCUAGUGGGCCUCGAUCUGUCCAGAAUCCCGAUCCCGAAACAUAAGAACUAUUAUUCCUUUUUUGUCAUGUUCAGGGCUCCUUGUUUGGUUGAGAUAUUAGCGGCCUCCCCAGAAGCAGUUCUGUCUGUCAGGGACUUUGAAGUUUCUCGGCUUAUCCAUUUUUGGUCGCCCGCUUCACUUGAGUUGUAAUCUAUGCCACGUCUGCUCUCCCAUAAUUGCCCAAAGGAGAGGAAGCACGAAGACUAAUCAAUGUAGGAGUUUACAACAUCAUCGCCCAUAGAUGAAUAAAACCAUAACCCUAGCACUACCUGACAGUCGCCUAUAGUUGCCUUAGCAUUUCCUUUCAUGGUGGGCCAGCCACCAGGUAUUUCUAUCGGUCCUUCGAUUGGUACUUUUUUCUACGGUGGAGCCUUUGUUCUUCAUUUGCCUUUCUACAAUGGCGGUUGUAUCUAACUAAUAUAGUCUCCUCUAUCUAUUGGAAGCCAGGACAUUAGCCCUUAUUUUUUCAAGGAAAAUACACUUGCUAGUGUACAAGCGACAUCGAAUUUGGUCUUGUCACAUGUGAAGAUGAUACUAAGAGUAUGAUACAUAUAGGUGCACAUAUGAACAGCUCGAGGGGAACCGAGCGCACAAAGGAAUCAGCCACCAUAAUCAAGUCAUUUCCAAAGAAACAAAGUGACAAAUAGAGAUACAAGAUAUUAGCUGCUUUAUGGAAAACACAUAUAGUUAAAUGUUGCUUUGCUCUUAGAUUAUUAACAAGAAAUACUCUUUACUAAUAUUUAACUGUUGCUUUGCUCUUUGAUUAUUAACAAGAGAUACAAGACAUUAGCUUCUUGACAGAUAUGGAAUGUAUUAAAGAAUCGUAUAAAUUUUUUGGUAUGUUGAAAUUAGAAGAAGUUCAUGUGCCUUCAAGGCAUGUCACAAUAUGUUAUUCCAGCUCAAAUAAGUAAAUACUAGUUUUUCUCCCUGCAUAUAGCCCCUCUUAUCAUGCUCUCUCUCUCUCUCUCUCUCUCUCUCUCUCUCUCUUUCUCUCUCUCUCUCUCUCUCUCUCUCUCUCCACUGUAUAUUAGAGAAGUGCCGACACUACUCGAUAGUUCCCAACUAGUGAAGGUCCAGAAGCACCCAACAUUGACGGGUUCAACACCCAUCAGUAAUUUAUACUUAGUAGAGAAGUAAAAAAAACCACUUACAGUCACAUGCCCGCCAAUGGUGAUCAAAUCAGAAAAGAAAAUCAGGCCAUGGCUGGUCCAAUUCCAACACCUGCCAAUAAUGUGUAUUCUCCACUACUCGAACCUACUUAUCCUUGAUAUGUUGCAUCGUUUUAUGUUUGGAGAAGCCAUAAAGUUGGAAAUCCAAAUAGAGAAAACAAUGAUGGGGAGUGGCUUGAAUAAUAGGAGCCGAGAAGCCGGACAGAGAAGGCCUCCAUCAUGCUGCACCAUUGCCCGAAGAACAAUGACCCGUAUAGGGCAAGGACCGAGGCAUAAUUGAACACCACCAUCAUCUGGGUGGCAAAGAGAGUUCUACCGGUGUGUUCCUACUCUCAGACAAACUCAAUGAAUUCUUGGAGGCGGCACCUGUGCCAGAUUCCGUAGAGAUGACAACAUUGAGGAGGUGGAGGGCAAUGCAAGGUUUCUUUCGCAGAGGGAUUAUUUUUAGGGAAGAGGGGUAAGUGUAUGACAUUAUGAGCUAUUAAAAAUGGAAGUUUGUGCGGCUAUGGAUGAAAAAUCAUGAAGACAAGUGAGCUAGUAGCUAGAGAAGGUUCGAAUGAUAGCAGGAAGGAAUAAUGAGCUUACUGGGUGGGGCUACUUUUUUUAACAUGUGACCUAAAUGACAGGGUAUUGAUUUAGUCACAGUCGGGAUGGGACUAGGGCUUCUAAGUUGUGGGUUCUAUAUGACUAACAUGUAGCAUGUAUAGCCUCAAAAUUAUCUACUAUUACUGGUAACAUUGUAUCAUUUAUGGACCACAUAUUGGGCCCGGCACUACUACCUGUUUUCAACAAAAAUAGAUUUUUAGUUAUAGUCAAUUUCACGACAAUCUUGCCAGCCAUUAUUGCUAACUAGCACUGCUAGCGGGUUUUGUGACCCCCCAUUUUGGAUCAAUACCUAGACGAGAACUCUAGCGUAGUGCACAUUUGUUUCUUUGAGAGUCUGUUAGUGUUUUUUUGUGCCCGAAGACGUAUCAGUUGACCCUAACAAGUGUUAUCUUUAGGUGGGGUCAAGAUUGAAAGAGCGGGGAGCUUUGCGGCAGGGAAAAUGGCACCUAGUGGCGUUCAGGUCUCCAUGAUGAACAACCACAACUUUGAUCUAAAUGAGCUAUUACUGAGCAUGAGAACCUUAAGCGGGAGUAGUCGCCCGUGGAUCAAGAGUAGCCGCCUAUGGCGCAACAUGAGGUUUAAUAUUCACAAUGGUUGGAGCCUCCUCAAAUCCGCAUCUGUGAGAAAAAAUAACUAUUGACCAAAAGCGUAGCCUUGUCAAAAAUUAUCAAAACAAUAUCCCUAUCCGAGGAUGAUGGGAAGGCUUUACGUGGAACUUUUGAAUCUCUUGCUUCCUAUUUUUUGGCAAUUGACUGGCGCUAUUGCUGAACUUGAGGGAGGGGGUUGGUAUACUGCCUCAUUAUCACCAUGUCCACUCGAAAUGGCUUUUAUAUUCAUUUUCCAUGAUGGUUUCCGUGUGUAAUUGUUUUGAAAAAGAACUUAUUUAUUUUGUAAUGCUUUGUGAAACAUCAACUAUAGAGCUAAGUCUUGGGUCAUGUGGAAAGGCAGUAGGUCAAGAAGUGUGUUGGAUCAUGAGAUAAUAUAUUUUCUAAGUUGUUCAGCAUGUGUGUUGACACCAUGGGUAGUAUGAGAGAAGGUUGUCUCAUGAGCUAACACACUUCUUGAACUACUAUCUUUUCACAUGACCCGAGACCUAGCUCCAUCAUUGAUGUUUCACAAACUUUACCAAAUGAAUAUAUUAUUGUUUAAAAAAUUCUCAUAUGAAAACCAUCAUGGGAAAUGAAUAGAAAAGGCAUUCCAAGUGGAUAGGGUGAUCAUGAGGCGGUAUACCAACUCUCUCCAUCAAGUAUAGCAAUAGUUCAGUUAAUGGUAAAAAAGUAGGAAGUGAGAAAUUCAAAACUUCAACACAAGGCUUCCCAUUAUUCUUGGGAUAGGGAUAUUUUUGAUAAUUUCUGACAGGGCUAUGCUUUUGCCAAGAGUUACUUUUGCUCACACAUGCGUAUUUGAGCAGCCUCCAACCAUUGUAAAUAUUAAAGCUCAUGUUGUGCCACAUGUGGCUACUCCUGCUCCACAGGCGGUUGCUCCUUCUUGAGCUGCUCAUGCUCAGUUGAUAGCUCAUUCAAAUUAAAGUUGUGGUUGUUCAUCAUGGAGACCUGAACCCCUCCAGGUGCCAUUUUCCCUGCUGCCAAGCUCCCCACUCUUUCACUCUCGACCCCACCUAAAGAGAACAAUUAUUAGGGUCCAUUGAUAUGUUUUCGUGAACAGGAAAACACUAACAUGAUCUCAAAGAAACAAAUGUGCAAUAAGAUAGAGUUAUCAUCUAGUUAUUCAUCAAAAGUGGUGGGUCACACAACCUGUCAGCUAUGCUACUUAGCACUAAUGGACAGCGGGAUUGUCGUGAAUCUGUUUAUAACUAAAAAUCUAUUUUUGUUGAAAAAAGAUAGUAGUGACGGGCCCAAUAUGUGGCCCAUCAAGGAUACACUGUUACCAGUGACAGAGGACUAUAUUGAGGCUAAACAUGCUACUUGUUAGUCAUAUACAACUCACCACAUACAAGCGCAAGUCACAACAUGAAUUGACUAAAUCAUUACCCAUUCAUCCAGAUCGCAUCUUAAAAAUAAGUAGCCCCACCCAGUAAGCUCAUUAUUCCUUCCUUCUAUGAUUUGUCCCUUCUCUAGCUACUAGCACACUUGCCUUCAUGAUUUGUCCUCUACAACAACACAUACUUAGCUUGUUUCCCCCUCUUUGCUGAAAAUAAACCCUCCGAGGAAGAAACCUUGUGCUGCCCCUCCACCUCUUUAAAAUGUUGUCACCUCUGCUAAAUCUGGCAUGGGGGCCACCUCCAAGAAUUCAUUGAGUUUGUCCGAGAGGAGGAACACCCAGUCCAAAUCCCUCUGCUACCCAGAUUAUGAUGGUGUUCACUUCUGCCUCGGUCCUUGCACCAUACGGAUUAGUACUCAUCGGCAGAUGGUGCAGCAUGGUGGAGGCCUUCUCCGUCCAGCUUCUCACAUCCUAUUCUUCAAGCCACUUGUAACAUCCCAAAUUUUCAAUUUGGAAUGUUAUACAAAUAGACCAUCAUUGCAUAUCAUAUUUAAUGCAUUUUGUUUCGGUCCUAGAAAUUCUACGCAACUCAAGGACCCACGGAGAGAGUUGGGGAUUUCGAUAUUUUCAUAUUUGAGUUUUCUCAAAUUUUGGAAGUAGGAUCAUUUGAUUUUAUUUAUUUUAGCUUCAAUUAUUUCAAUUAUAUAAAUAUGAGAGAGGGAAUAAAAUGACUUUCCCAAAAUAAAGAAAUAUUGAGGAUUUAAUAAAAAAGAUCAAAUAAGAUUUUUGUUUUGGAUUUUCUGGCUAUUUUAUUCGAAUUUAGGAAAAAUGUGUGUUUUCAAAAAUUGCAUUUAGGCCCAAAUAAAUAUUCAUCUAAACCGGCUUGAUUUUAGAAGCCGAGGAAAAUUUAUUUCGGGACUUUUGGAGUCCAUUUAGUAUUUCUUUCGUUUGUUUCUCUGCGUGAUAUUUAUUUAAAAAAAACUGGAACCGACUACGGGCCGUAACCGGCCAGGACUCCGCCUGGCCGGGUCUUUAUAUAGCGCGCCCUGGGCUCCGCCCCAGCCCAAAACCGCCGCCGCCAGCCCAACCCGCCGCCGCCGCCAAAACCCUAACCCUAGCGCCGCGCCGCCGCCAGCCCGCGCCGCUGCCGCCGCCGCUACNNNNNNNNNNNNNNNNNNNNNNNNNNNNNNNNNNNNNNNNNNNNNNNNNNNNNNNNNNNNNNNNNNNNNNNNNNNNNNNNNNNNNNNNNNNNNNNNNNNNNNNNNNNNNNNNNNNNNNNNNNNNNNNNNNNNNNNNNNNNNNNNNNNNNNNNNNNNNNNNNNNNNNNNNNNNNNNNNNNNNNNNNNNNNNNNNNNNNNNNNNNNNNNNNNNNNNNNNNNNNNNNNNNNNNNNNNNNNNNNNNNNNNNNNNNNNNNNNNNNNNNNNNNNNNNNNNNNNNNNNNNNNNNNNNNNNNNNNNNNNNNNNNNNNNNNNNNNNNNNNNNNNNNNNNNNNNNNNNNNNNNNNNNNNNNNNNNNNNNNNNNNNNNNNNNNNNNNNNNNNNNNNNNNNNNNNNNNNNNNNNNNNNNNNNNNNNNNNNNNNNNNNNNNNNNNNNNNNNNNNNNNNGCCGCCGCCACCGCCGCCCUCGUCGGAGCCGCCGCCACCACCGACCCGCACCGCGAGGUUGACCUCGACGCCGCCGUUUUUUUAGAAAAACCGUUCGGUUUUUCCGUCGGUUUUUCGUCGUCUUUUUAGAUUAGGUUUUUUUCGUUAGAUCGAUUUUCUUCCGGUUUGGAUUAAUUAGUGAGCGUUCAAUCGUUUGUUCGUUUUAACGAACGCGUUCAUCGUUUAGAUCCAGAUAACGAACGUUCGUUCGUUAAUCUGUUCGUCAUUUUUCUUUUUCAAGGAUUUAUUCCGCGAUUUUUCUGAUCGCGAUUUCUGAUCCGAUUUUUGUUUUAGUAUAACUUUUCGCUCAUUUAUCGGAAUCAGGCGAUUCAAGCGCUUAGAGUUUCGUCUCGAAACCCUCUUUCCGAAUAAUGUACUCAAACCAGGUUUUGCUUCUGUAAAAUUUGACUUAGGUCCAGAUUAGUAAACGAAGCUUGUUUCUUUCGCCAUUUGAGUUUUGUUUCUUAAUUUGAUUUGAUUCUUUUUGCAAACCGGAGUUCUUAAGUUGAACUUUCUGGUUAGACCUCUUAUUUGAGUUUUACGCGUGCAUUAGAUGAGUACUUAUUGUAUGCUUGUUUGUUUGUUUGCUUGCGAUAGAGUACCCGGACUGCGCCGCUUGCUACUUCGAAUCCCAAGGUUACGCGGAUCAUCAGCAAGGCAAGUAACACUUUGAUCAUACCUCUUUACUACCCAGUUUUUAUGCAUUAGAUCAAUCCUCAAACAUUGCAUGAUUAGGAUCUAAUUAAAUUGUGGGUUUUGGGAAGUAGAUUGAGGUAGUACCUAUUACCUAUUUUAUUAUCAAACCCUUGGGAGUUACUUCUACGUUUGCUUAUUUUGCCAUGCUAUGCAAGUAGACGUGGAUUGGGUGAGUGAUUUUCCAUGAUAGAUGUGAGAUUGUUAAUUAAUGGUUUAUUUAAGGUGGCAACAUUAAUACACAUGUGGGUGGAUUGAGGUACCUGGUUAUUCCAGGAUUGCCUGUUUUUUUAUGGACCGCCACCCAGGCUCAAGGGGAUCAUAAGAUUAUUCAUGCUAGAAACUUCCGUGUGCAGCCACAUGCUAUUAUGGGCUCUAGCAUAGCUGAUUAAGUCGUGCGAACUCUUACAGUGGUAGACUAGCAGAUGUAGGGGAAAGUAGGUGUACCGGUCUACCCAUCGUAAGGUGCUAGAGCUUCUGAAAUACUAUGUCUCGGUCAUUCAUUUCUCAAACACCAUGUAGUGCGAGAAAACCAACGGAGGAGAUCGAGUCAUGUGGGAAAAAGUGCGCAAACCUCUGCAGAGUGUAUAAACUAAUCAUGAUUAGCCGUGUCCCCGGUUAUGGACAUCUUGAGUAUCUAGUACUUGGAUUAUCGUGUGAAUCUCAUCAUGUUACUUUAAUUAAGAUUGUUGGGUUUGUUUAAUGAUGAUUCUUAAUUGGGAUUGAGGAUGCUGUCAACCAUUCUCAAUGUUUAACAACCACCAUGAUAGUUAAAUAAUUUAUUCCUUUGUAGUAGGGAAAAACUGGCUUUACGCAAAAACUGUAACCAUAGAGCUAUCCACCAAGCCAUAUAUGCAUGCAGUAUAGCUUUACUCUUUCAUUUUUCUCUAUGUGUUACUUUGCCAGCAUAUUCCAUGUGCUGACCCGUUUUCGGGCUGCAACUUUCAUGUUGCAGACUUUUCAGACAACGAGUAAGAUGCUUUAGGAUCGUGGUUCUAUAGUCAGUGAUGCCGUUGGAGGUGAUGGACUCACUUAUCUUCCAAGCCUUCCGCUGUUAUCGUUAUUAGAUGGUCUUAAGCCAUAUUUAUUGUAAUAAGUUUCUCUUUAGAGACAUUCGAUGUAAUAAGUGUGUGAUUGCUACUCUGUUAUAAAUCCUUCGAGUACUGUGCGUGUCAGCAUUACUGAUCCAGGGAUGACACUGAUGCACAGAGAUCGGACUGUUUGAGGUCUGGUCGCUACACCACUACUCACCAUUGUUUUCUCUAUUCGGCUCCCCAACUAAAUGGCUUCUACAAACAUCACACAGUGCAACAUAUUGAGGAGAAGAAGGUUAGAGUAGUGGAGACUACACAUUAUUGGCAGGUGUCCGGUUUGGACCGGCCAUUGCCUGAUUUUAUUUUCCAAUUUGACCACCAUUGGUGCACACAUGCCUGUAAGUGGUCUGUUCCUUCUCCACUAAGGAUGGACUACUGAUGGGAGUUGAACCCGUCACUGCUGGGUGUGUUUGGACCUUCACCGGUUAGGCAUUAUGGAGUAGUGUCGGCAGUUCUGGAAUAUACAAUGGAGUGAGAGAGGAGAGAGAGAGUCCAUGAGAAGAGGGGCUAUAUUCAGGGAGAGUAACCACUUAGUAUGCCAUAUUUGAGGUGGAACAACACAUUGUGACACGCCUUCGCGUGAACUUCUUCUAAUUUCAACAUACCAAAAAUUGAUAUGAUUCUUUAAAACCUACUGACCAAAAUGCAUUCGAUAUCUAUCGAGAUUUACAUUUAUUAUAUUAGUAAAAAGAUUCUUGUUAAUAAUCAAAUAGCAAAGCAACAUUUAAGUAUAGAAGGGUUUUCUAUAAAGAAGAUAAUGCCUUGUCUCUCCUUUUGUGACUAUGUUUCUUUGGAAAUGAUUCGUUUAUGGUGGUUGAUUCCUUUGUGUGCUCGGUCCCCUGGAGCUAUUCAUAUCUCCUCAAAAUUGCAUCCUCCACAAAGUAUGCACCUAUAUGUAUCACACUCUUAGUUUCAUCUUCACAUGCGACAAGAAUUCUUUUCAAGUCGCUUGUACACUAGCUAGUGUAUUUACCUUGAAAAAAAGAGCCAAUGUCCUGGCUUCCAAUAGAUAGAGGAGACUAUAUGAGCUGGAUACAGCCGCCAUUUUAGAAAGCCAAAUGAAGAACAAAUGCUCCACUUCAGAAAAAGCAAGUGGUGGACCCACCAUGAAAGGAAAUGGCAACUAUAGGCGACCGACAUGUAGUGUUAGGGUUAGGGUUAUAUUCAUCUAUGGGCCGAUGACGGCGUACACUCGUACAUUGAUUGGACUUUGUGCUUCGUCUACAUUGCACGCUGAUGGGAGAGCAGGCGUGGCAUGGGUCGACAAAUCCGAUGAAGUGGGCGACCAACGAUCGAUACGCCAAGAACCUUCAAAGUCCCUGACAGACAAAAAUGCUUUCCGAAGGCAUGAAUCUCUCAAACAAACAAGGAUCCCUGAACUUGUAUGCAAAGGAACUAAUAGGUCUCUUCUUUGAGGGUCAGGAUUCUAGACUGACCAAGGCCUACUAAGUGGUCAGUGGUUGGAAAGGCAUGCUCACCGCAAAUCAACAUCACCGUGUUUGCUAGAUCUAUUGAAUAGGCAUGGGGACUCUACUAGAAAUCCUAGAUAAGUCACAUUGUCAAUAAUAUAUUCCUCUUGAGAUUUGAUAACAAAGGAGUCUAGAAGCACGCUCCAUAUAGUGGACCGUGGAUUGUUUUUUAGUGUGAUAGUUUUGAAGGAUUGUGAUGGUAAAACUAAGUUGUCAAAGAUAAUGUUUUGUAUGACGGAGCCAUGGGUGGGAAUUAAGGAUCCUCCCCUAGAAAAACAAUCAUAUACUUUUGGGUACACUCUCGGGAAUUGGCCAUAUUUGUUUCAUUAGUCUGAAGCUUCUUCUUCCACUCUACAGUGAAAGAUGAGGGGACCUGGUUUGAUUUUCAAUUUGAGAAGAAACCUCAGUUUUGGUUUGACUGCAAUAAACUAGCACAUAUUGAUGGAAGAUUUUAACCACAUGUUGAUUUCUCACCCGAUAACCCACAAGUAUGGGGGAUCGUUUGUAGCCUUGUUCGAUAAAUAAGAGUGUCAAACCCAAUAAGAGCUAAAGGAAGAACAAAUAUUCCCUCAAACUCUAUCGACCACCCAUACAACGCUAUGCACACUUGACGUUUGCUUUACCUAAAACAAGUAUGAAACUAUUUUGCAAGAAUAAAACUACAAGUACAUUGCGAGAAUAAAACUACGAAUAAAUUGCAAGGUAAUAAAAUUGGAUAGCUUUUGUCAACAAGAAAGUCAUUUGUCCCUAGGCAAUCGAUAACAAGUACCGGUAAUCAUUCUCGUAAUUUUAUUUGAGGGAGAGGCAUGAGCUAACAUACUUUCUCUUCUAGGAUCAUAUGCACUUAUGAUUGGAACUCUAGCAAGAAUCUGCAACUACUAAAGAUCAUUAAGGUCAUGAAACCCAACCACAACAUUAAAUAUCAAGUACUCUUUAUCCCAUACGCAACAACCCACCUACUUGGGUUUAACCUUCUGUCACUCUCGCAACCCACCAUGAACGAAUCAUGAACGUAUUGCAACACUGUACAGCGGGGAUCCCUCACGUUUGCGCGAGACGGAGGGCACCGUAUGACAGCGCCAUAAAUAAAAUAUACAAUCAUACCAACCAAGAUCACGAUUAACCCAUAGGACAAAACGGAUCUACUCAAAUAUCAUAGGAUAGCCAAAUAUCACUAGGAAAUAAUAUAUGGAGAUGAACACCAUGUUUAAGUAGAGAUUACAGCGGGGAGAAGGGGUGUUACACCUCUGCAUAGUGGGGGAGAAUGUUGGUGUUGACGGUAGCAAGAUUGUUGGUGUAGAUCGUCGUCAUGAUCCUAGCCCCGGUGGCGUUCCGGCAUCACUGGGAGACAGGGGGAGAGAGCCCCCCUCCUUCUUCUUCUUCCUUGGUCUCCCCCCUAGAUGGGAGGAGGGUUCCUCCUCUGGUCCAUGGCCCCCAUGGUGGCGGAGGGGCAGGAGCCCCUCCGAGAUUGGAUCUCCCUCUCUGUUAUAUUCUGUUUCGUGUUCCCAGAUCUGGCGGAAAACCGUUUCUUAUAUUCGAGGAGAUCCACAACUCCGAUUGCGAUGAAAUUUUAACAAUAUUUUUUAGGGAUAUAAGCUUCCUUGCGCCCGAAGUAGAGCUCCAACCAACAUACGAGGUGGGCAUAAGACACCUAGGUGCGCCUAGGUUCCCAGGCCCGCCCUUGUGGGUUAUGGUCACUGUGGGCCCCCUCUUCUGAUGAUUCCAGCUCCCCAAAAUCACAAAUAUUCCAAAACAAUUCUCAGUAAAAUUUUAUUGCAUUUGGACUUCGUUUGAUAUAGAUUUUCUACGAAACAAAAACAUGCAACAAACAGGAACUAGCACUGGGCACUGGAUCAAUAUGUUAGUUCAAAUAAAUCAUAUGAAAUGUUGCCAAUAGUGUAUAAAAGUUGUAUAAUAUUGGGAUGAAAGAAUCAAAAUUUAUAGAUAUGAUGGAGACGUAUCAGCAUCCCCAAGCUUAAUUCCUACUCGUCCCCGAGCAGAUAAAUGAUAAAAAAAGAUAAUUUUUGAUGUGGAAUGCUACGUAGCAUAAACUUGAUCAUAUAUAUAAUCAUGGCAUGAAUAUUAAGACAUAAGUGAUUCAAAGUAAUAGUCUAUAAUUUGACAUAAAGACAUUAAUACUCAGGAAUCCCAACAAACAAUCAUGUCUUUCAAAAUAUCAACACUAAAGAAAGCUCUCCCUACAAAAUCAUAUAAUCCUGUCAUGCUCUGUCGUCUUACCACAAAGUAUUUAUCAUGCACAACCCCGAUGACAAGCCGAGCAAUUGGUUCAUACUUUUUAACGGGCUUCAGCUUUUUCAACUCCCAUGCAAUACAUGAGCACAAGCCAUGGAUAUAGCACUAUAUGUGGAAUAGAGUAUGAUGAUUGGGGCUAAUAUAGAGAAGACAAAAAGUAAGAAAGUCUCACAUCGACGCGACUAACCAACGGGCUAUGGAGAUGCCCAUCAAUUCAUAUAAACGUGAGGAGUAGGGAUUGCCAUGCAACAAAUGCACUAAGAGAUAUAAGUGUAUGAAAGCUCAAUAUGUAAACUAAGUGGGUGAGCAUCCAACUUGCUUGCUCAUGAAGACCUCAAGCAUUUGAGGAAGCCCAUCAUCGGAAUAUACAAGCCAAGUUCAAUAACAAAAAUUCCCACUAGUAUAUGAAAGUGACUAAAUAAGAGACUCUAUAUGAAAACCAUGGUGCUACUUUGAAGCACAAGUGUGGUAAAAGAUAGUAACAAUGCCCCUUCUCUUUCUUUCUUUUUCUUUCUUUUCUUUCUUUUUUUCUUUUUUUUCUUUUUUGUCUCAUUGUCCGGAGUCUCAUCGCGACUUGUGGGGGAAUCAAAUCUUCAUCAUCCUUUCCUCACUGGGACAUGCUCUAAUAAUGAAUAAUGGUGACCAUCACACUUCUAUUUACUUAUAAAUCAAAAGAAAUAAAAAUUACAACUCGAUACCUAGAACAAAAUAUGACUCUAUAUGAAUGCCUCUGGUAGUGUACCAGGAUGUGCAAUGAUCUAGCAUAACAAUGAUAUAAAAAAUGGACAAGCCAUGUAAAUAUCAUGCUAGCUAUCUUAAAAUCAUGCAAAGCAGUAUGAUAUUGAAUACUCAAGUCAUCAAAACGGAGGCGGUGGAAAUUGCAUGGCAAUAUAUCUUAGAAUGGCUAUGGAAAUUCUAUAAUAGGUAGGUAUGGUGCCUGUUUUGAGGAAGAUAUAAUAAGGCUUAUGUGUGAUAUAGUGUAUCAUAUCACGGGGUUUGGAUGCACCUGUGAUGUUUGCACCACGUCUCAAAGUGAGAAAGGGCAAUGCACGGUACCGUAGAGGCUAGCAAAUUGCGGAAAGGUAAGAGUGCGUAUAAUCCAUGGAGUCACAUUAGUCAUAAAGAACUCAUAUACUUAUUGCAAAAGUUUAUUAGCCCUUGAAGCAAAGUACUACUACACAUGCCCCUAGGGGGAUAGAUUGGUAGGAAAAGGCCAUCGCUCGUCCCUGACGGCCACUCAUAAGGAAGACAAUCAAUAAUAAAUCAUGCUCCAACUCCAUAGCAUAAUGAGAGACUAUACAUGCAUGCUUCGGGAAUCACAAACCUUAGCACCAAUAUUCUUACUAACCACAAUCGUUCACUAGUACCCCCCACAUAUUCCAUCUCUAUAUCGCAAAAAUAUUGCAAGGAAUCAAACAUAUCAUAUUCAGUGAUCCAUAAGUUUUAUGUAGGAUUUUAUGACUAACCAUGCAAUUGACCAAUUCCUGUUGACUCUCUAAACAGAUAUAAAUGAAGCAUGAGAGUUUAAUUCUUUCUACAAAAGAUCAUGCUCUAACAAAUAUAAGUGAAGAAAAAAAGCAUUCUACAAAUAACAGUUUUCUAUGUGAAGAGAAACAGGCAAUCCAAACUUCAGAUGAUAUAAGUGAAGCACAUGAAGAAUUUUAUAAAGCCAUACUCAAAUGAUAUAAGUGUAGUGCAAUGAGCAUUCUAUAAAAAAACAUGGACUAUCUCAUACCAGCAUGGUGCAUGAAAGAAAAGUGAAAACUAAAUGCAAAAGACGCUCCAAGAUUUACACAUAUCACGUGAACGAAAUGAAGACGAAAACAUACCGGUACUUGUUGGAGAGAGAUGGGAUGCCUUUCAGGGCAUCACCAAGCUUAGACGCUUGCGUCUCCUUGAAUAUUUACUUGGGGUUCCUUGGUCAUCCCCAAGCUUGAGCUCUUGCCUCUCCACCUUCCCCUCAUAUCGAGACCUCCUCGAUCUUUGAUAACUUCAUCCACACAAAACUCAACAGAAAGCUCGGUAAAAUCCGUUAGUAUAAUAAAGCAAAUCACUACUCUAAGUACUAUUUCAAACCAAUUCAUAUUUUGUUUUUGCAUUUUAGCUACUGUAACAUAAAUUUUCCGUGGCUUAUACCACCGAUAGAAUCAAUAGUUUCAUCAAAACAAGCAAAACAAUGCAUCAAAAACAGAAUAUGUCUUAAACAGGACAUUCUAUACCAAUCUGAACAUCUACCAUACUUCAGGUACUCCAAAAAUUCUGAAAAAUUAGGACAAAAUAAACAAUUUGUAUAGAAAUAAUGUGCAAGAAAGUUUCAGAACCUUUUGACGUUCCAGUAAAAAAAUGAAAAUUCAUGCGCUACAACAAAAGUUUAUGUUUCUGCACCGCACAUACAAACAAGCAAUCGAAUAAUCCUAAAGGCAAACCUUGGCACAAUAAUUUUACAAUACAAAGGAUUUGUAUAAGGGGAUAAUUAUUUUUUUUUGAAAAUUUUCUGUAAUUGAGAUUCACAAAGUUUCCAUGGGCAUGAAAAAGUUCAAGGAGCUCCCCCACUUCAACAAUGCUUGUCGCCUCACUUUCACUUUCCUUUUUGUGAAGUUUUAAGUUCCCCUCUAUAUUUUUUGUUUUUAAGCUUUAUAAAAGCACUCAACAAAAAUAAAAUGACUCUCUAAAACUUCUGGGUUGUCUCCCUGGCAUCGCUUUCUUUAAGCCAUUAAGCUAGGCAUAAAGUGCUCAAGUAAUGAAUCCACCCGGAUCCCAAGGUAUAUCAAAGCCAAUUUUAAUUAGCAAUGAUUUUGCAUUUAGUAGUGAGCACAAAGAAACAUAUAUCAUGCAAUUACGAAGUCUAACCCUCUUCCUAUGCAUCGGCAUGCCAUAUAAGAACAAUUCAUGCACAUCAAGUAAAGGCCAAUACAUAGCAUAAGUAGUUUCUUGCAAUUUUAUCGUGUUGGAAACAUAGAGAGGUGGAGAUGUAGUUCCUCUAUCAUAAUAAUUGCAUGUAGGAGCAGCAAGCACAUGCAUAUUAUAUUCAUCAAAAUCAUCAUGUGCAGCGGUAAAAGGCAACCCAUCGAUAUAAUCCUUAAUAAGAACAAACUUCUCCGAUAUAGUGUAGUUUGGAGAAUUCAAAAAGAUAAUAGGACUAUCAUGUGUGGGUGCAAUAGCAACAAUUUCAUGUUUAACAUAAGGAACAAUAGCAAGUUCAUCUCCAAUAGCAUAAUUCCUAUUGGCAUCAUGGCCACAAGCAUAGCAAGCAUCUAGUUCAUCAAAGAGGGAUAUUUCAAAUGAAUCAAUGGGAUCAUAGCAAUUAUCAUAGCAUUCAUCCUUUGGUAAGAACGAAGGGAAAGUAAACAAUGUAUGAGUGGAAGAGUUACUCUCAUUAUAAGGUGGACACGGGUAGCUAAUCCGCUCUUCCUCCUAUUGUUUUUCACUCUCCUCAUCAUCUUUUUCAUGCACUGAGUUCACAGUUUCAUCAAUUUCUUUUUCCAUAGACUCCUGCAAAAUAUUAGUCUCUUCUUGGAUAGCGGAGACUUUCUCAAUAAAUUCAUCAAUAUCGGAAUUGUAUUUAUAAUUAUCAUAGCCAUAUUUACGGAUGGAAAAAAUUUCAGGCCUAUAAACAUCAUCAUAAAAAGCUUCAUACUUUUCAAACAAAGAUUCAAUUUCUUAAGGACCCUUAAAAGCAUCAAAUUCUUCUAUUUUUUCCACAUCAUAAUAAUCAUAUCUACCAUUGGCAUAAGAAGCAAAGGUUUCAUUAUCAUUAAAUUUGCAUGAAAAGGGAAGGUGUGGAGCAUUCAUCCUGGAGCAACAAGUAAAAUUAUAUCUCUAGCAUAAAUUCCAAGCAUACCAAUGCAACAUAUCAAUUUGAUCCCAUAACAAUUUCCCUUUUUGUGUCAAGCGAUAAUCCAACAUUACUCCCAUUAUCAAGUUGAAAGGGGUUUUCUUAGGAUUAUCAAAGUAGUGCAUUGACUACGGCUGCAACGCGAGCGGCUAUAAAAGGGCACCAUUUCCUCAUCCCUCUCACACUCAUCUCUCAAGCCUCCUCCGCUUCUUCUUUUUGAGCCAAAUCCACCACUGGAGCCACCAUGCAGUUCAACGGCCCUACCUAUUGUCGCCCUCGCACCGUGCCGGAGAGGGAGUACCCGGCCGGAGUCAUCGUUGAGAAUAGCCUGAGGGUGUGGGCCAUCUCAAGGUGGAGGGGCCCUAGAGAUUUGACUCGCUUCUUCCUCCAAGCUGGCUACCGCCACCUCCCUCCAGGCACUCCCCCCAUGUUCCACCUCCACGAGGUGUACGAUGGGGCUGACGUCAACAGCAUCGUCAUCGGCCUCUACAUCACCUUUACCAGCCCCUACGACGCUUACCACCUCCUCGGCCAGGUAUUUUCGUGUGGAUGUGAGUUCAUCGCGUUCACCACCUACAACAUCUUCACCAAAUUCCACCACAUCUUCCCCGCGGCCAACAACAUGCACACCCUCCCCUACCAGAUGCCAGAGAACGACGAGUGAGGGGCGCCGGCUAAGGAGGGGCCAAGGAGUUGUUCGUGUGUUCUGUUGGCCGGGUCUUUCUAUCUAGCUUGUGUUGUGUUGGUUUGGGCAUGUGUGCCCGUGUCUUCUAUCUAGUUUUAAUUAUUUUCCUUUCAUGUUUUAUGCACUAUAUGUUUUAAGGGGAUUCCCCUCUAUAUGUUGUAAGGGGAUGCUACUAGGGUACCCGAUGCCCCUCUAUCGUGCUAUCUAUUAAUGUAUUUUCGGGCCUAAAGUUUCUUCAUUGCAUUUUAUUUAUGUGGCCAUGUGAACUUAAAAAUGCACUAAAACAUGAUCCAAUCAUAAAAGUUGUUGUUAGCACGUGUCUAGUUAAUUAUUUUCCUUUUAUGUUUUAUGCACACGAGUAAAAACUUUGAAAACACCGUAGCUCAAACCAAAAAAAAUUAAAAAUGGUGCAUGGUUCAAAUACUCCCUCCAUGCAGGUGCAUAGGGCACCUAAGAAAAAGCUCUGCAAUUUAGGUUCCACCAGGCCAACCUUGUUGCAAUCACUUGCCUAAUCACCGUUGGUUUCCUAUGCAUGCAUUGGAUAUUUCCCUCUUUGCCAGCCAUCCAUAAUUAAUCACCGGAGGAAAGAAGCGGCAGUUAAUGCAUAUUACGACUUAGACUUCCCAACACACCAGGACAGAGGAAGUAAACUAGAACUAAACAAUUGCAAUGUUUUUGGUUCACAAAGACUGCAAGUUAGACUGCUAACUAGAACCAACCUUUUGUUUUAGCCAAAACAACACGGGACCCUACCAUCGGACACGAUAGCUUGUGCAUAAAAAUAGCUCAAAUAAUUAUCAGAUGAGUUAUCUCAAAAAGAUGACUGCAGGAAGCUUAAAAUUUGUGAAAUAACCUAAGCCGAAAAGAUAUAUCGAUGUCAAUGACCAUGUGCACUUUUUUUGCACCAGCUACACAUUUUUUUAUCAAUAGGCCUGGAUAUGUUCUAUUCGGCCCUGCCUACCUUCUAUAUGGGCCUGGCCUUUUCAGGCAACUGUCGACGAACCUUUUUUUUCCUUUUCUCCCUCUACCACUGAAACUACCCCUGAACUUGAAAUCGAUGACGAACUGCAGAAGUGAAUAAACGGGGCUGAAACAGAGUGGAGAAGACAUGCCGAAUUCGUAUAGCGCAACACUUUUAUUCAAACAUCCAUAUCAUUACGAUUACAAAUGAUGCCCAAUCUAUUCACUCACGACUAAUUAUCAUCACAUAAACAAAUGCGAGAGCAAUUACACAAACAUAAAAAAUUCCGGCCAUCAGAUUGCCCUGCUUCUUCAAUUCGACGAGUUUCUUCAUCUGCUUGUUCAGCAUCUUCAGCUCUGCCGUCCCUCAUGCAUCCUCCACAGUAGCACCAAUAGAAUUGCCAGAUCCACGGGCCCCAGAUCCAGACUUGGCCCAAUCCAAACUUCUCCGCCUCCAACGGUAAAUCAAGCUCCCCUGAUGCACCCUCCAGUUGAAUCCGCUCUAUGUACUCAUCUAGCCACUCAAAAUGGGCGCAUUGCUUCAAUUUCUGAAAUCGAAAAGAUGAACCCUAAAUCCCAAAUCCAAUGAAAAAUAUGAAAUUGGGAGACAAAAACCAAAAUUGGCAUAUUGAGAAGUUAAAUCUCACCUUACCCUGCUCUUGUUUGCUCUCGCAUUUCACGAAUUCCCGCCCAAGGUUGCCAUUCUUGCUGGUCGUUAUGACUAGCCGCUUCAGGGGUGCGGUACGUGGGCAUGCAGGGCACCUUGUCAUGGGCACUGCGCCAUAGCGCGGCCAUGAGCGGCAGGAGGCUGAAGCAGAGCUCGACAUUGCUAUGUCGCGGCCCGGAACAACGUUGUUGCGCGUCGUAGCUGGAGAAGAAGAAGAACAACGGUCGACGAGCAGGGCGAGGAUGGGGGGCGGGCUCGGCUGCUGCACGGCUCAUUGUCCUUUUUUGUACCAAUGCUGGGUUGGAUAAGUUAGUGGGUCCCAUGCUGUGGGUCCCGUUUUGUUACGUACCAAUGCUGAGCUGGAUAAGUUAGUGGGUCCCAUGUUGUGGGUCCCUCUUUGUUAUGUACGGGCUCACCUGAUUCGAAUUUUAAACCCUAAUUAGGCAGCAGUGUCGCACGGCAGCUAUUUUUUGCAACGCAGGUGUCGCAUGAGAGCCAUUAUAGCCAACGACGUCGCAUGAGAGACAAUUGAACUCAACGACGUCGCAUGGGAGCUAUUCGCCUGUUUUCGGAGACAGGCGAGGGCACCGCCACCGGGGAUGCAGCCGCCGUGAAGUGGCCCUCCAGGGACUCCGACGCCUCUCUCUCGGCCGCCGGGGUGGGGGCGGUGGUGGCCAUGCGGCGUACCUUGGGCCAGGGUGCCAGCACGCUGGGUGCGAGGGCGGGGGAGGGGGAGGGGCAGCGAGGGGGUGUUCCUCUGAGUCGUUGGUUGCGAACAUGGUGCUGGUCGUGCUAGGGCUGGCCAUCAUGGUCGAUGGCUCUUCGGUGAUGCGUGGAGAGAAGGAUGAGGAUUAUUUCAUGCGGCCGGAGAAGAAGCAAAGAAUGAGGGGCGAGAGGAUAAGAAUGAGAUAGCUAAAGCCUCCUGGCCGCCCUGCUUGCGCUGCCUGGGGAUGGAUGGAAAUAAACGCCAGCGGCAUUUAUCGCUCGGCAUUAAAUAUGUUACAAAAAAUCUAGAAAUUUAUUAACCAAAUGUUCUCCCAUACUAGAUAUCUUAGCAUGCGGUUUAAUAAUAACUGCCUAGUAUUUGUGUUUGUACCUCAAUCGGUUCUGGGGUUCGUCUCCUCUCCAGUUAAGUGUUUACUGUACAAGUGCAGUAGCAUGUACGAUGGGCCAUCACUAUGAUUGGUAGAACGAACGAGGGGACAAUCAGACAUGUGCAAGAAAGCUAAAGUGCAAAUUACACCGGGUGGAAAGAUCAAGGUCUUACUAAAGCUGCGAGGAAGGUGUUGGCUACAAUUGUCGUGUGCGAUGCACCGACCUACACAAUGAGCUGCUUCCAGUAACCAAAGAAUAUGUGUCGGAACCCGACUUCUAUUUCUUUGAAGUCGUGGUGGGGAGGUACAAAUGGUGAAUGGAAGAUGCAUUGGGUGGCUUGGGACAAAAUGUGCAUGAGCAAGAGAGACGGAGGUAUGAGAUUUAGAGAUUUUCGGGCAUUCAAUCAAGCCCUACACUACUAGGGAAAAGGCUAGCAGCAGUGCGGGUUUUAGGUGUAUCAGUAGCACGGGGAGUGGCGCUACAGCUAACACAUAGCAGUAACGCGUGCUCACCGGCGCUACUGCUACACAGUGUAGCAGCAGCGCGGUUAGUGGAAGCUCGCUACUGCUAGUAUUUCUAGCGCGCUUUGCCUUGACGCGCUACUGCUAUCGCGGCGCUGCUGCUAACUUUUAUACACUCACUACUGCUAAUUUAAGUAGUUUUUUGUUUUUUUCGGCAUAUUUAUUUUGUAUUUGAACAGGCUUUAUAGUAGAAUAUUUAGCACAUAGAAAUGUCAUGAUGAUACACAUACAAAUGCCUGCGAGACCACAAAUGUAAUCAUAGCAUAUACAUACAAAUAGUCUCAUCAUAAUCAUCAUCCAACACAAAGUGGUAUCUUGUCAUCAUCUCGAAAAUAGCGAUACAUGCAAGUCUCGAAUACUUGCAACUACAACAACGUCAUCCAUCUAAACAAAGGUAGAUGCAAGAAGAGCUAUCACUAUGAGUGAGAGCGGAACUAUGCAGUACAUGAGGUGGCAGUUACGAGUCCUCUCUUGCGCUAGCGUGAACCUCAAGUAACUAGCUUCUCCUUCUUGUCUGCUUUUGAAGCCUUUAUGGCUGGCGCCUGUGAAUCCAUUCACUUGAGCCUGACACUCAUGCCACUCGUUGUACACCCCCAGAACCUUCCCUUUGUACACGACAUAGCAAUUCCAUCUCACCAUCAAGAAACUAGGUGCCUGUUAGAGAUGCAUGUUCAUGAAGAGGAUGUACAAUCAUAUAUAUCCAACAAAAUAUACUAGAGCAACACCGAAAAAGAACGGGUUAGCAACUAGAUGCAACAUACAAUAUGUAAACUAACAAAGUAGCUUUACGCAAGUUCGGCAGGGACCGUCGACAUCACAAAGUUUCAUCGCUACAAAAAGUAUACAGGUUCAACCGACACAUAUCAUCAUCAUCGGCAUCAUAAAUCACUAGAAGUUCCAUCCUUCCAUAUCAUCGAGGAUGAACCCUAGCUUCUUGAACGGCGUGAGGUCUAGACGUUGCAUGCCUAUGCGAGUUCGGACGUCAGCUCACGAUAUAGGGCCGUGGUGGAACAUCCCCUUCUCAUCGACGACUUCUUUCAUGAUGAUCGUCGCAAUGUCUCUUUGGAUGCGAAAGAAGUCAUCUCUAAGUUUAUAAUCCGCUUCUCCAUGAGAUUCUAGCCCCUUGUGGAUAUGAUCAUCAUUUCUGCUUCUCAUGCGAAGCUUUUGGUGAUCCGUGUUGAACUGAAUCAUGAGAUGGACGAUGUAGAAUCCAUCCUUCUUGCUUGGUUUUGGGACAUGGAUGCAGGAGAAGUUAGUUUUAUGCGCGAAACCCACACAAGUAGAUAAAGGGGCUUUUGUCCCGGUUGGUAAGGCCAUCUUCUUGUUCCUUUGUUUCCUGAUCUGCACGUAGCCACCUCUAAAGCUGAAGCCUUGGAGAGCAUCAUCUAGAAUAUUCAUUAUGUGGGUGUAGUCUUUUUUUCUCGUAGUCUCUGGAAGGGUCAAAAUACACGGCGUGGGAGACUUGCGGGUAAAGAACGAUAAGGACGGCGCGCCCGUUGCUGUAGGGAAAAGACACCUCAAAUUAUUCCCCAUAUGAGAGAGAAGGAAUGAUUGAAAUGUACGAAAGGGUUGUCCGGAACUGACUUACUUUGGAUGAUAAGGCACGAAGACAAUUUCCCGGUCCUUAUUCUGUACCAUUAAGUUUUGGAGGUACUCCCUAGCAGUUUCACGCUCAAAGUCGCUGAGACUCAAGAAAGACUCGUGCAUGUAGUACGGAUCCGCCACACAGAUUUGCGAGACUUCUUCACUCUUCAUGACGGAGCUCAUAUGUAGCGCAAAAAGAUGGGCGAUUGUAGCCACGGCUCUGGGAGACCCGCGGCUUCACGUUCCGCGUCCUCCUUAUCCCAUAUGGGCCUUUUACCAAGGUAUCCACGGCUUCCGAGGCGAUGCUUCCCUGUGUUCCUUUGUUGAAGGCUCUUGAAUUUCGCAGCCUUAGCCUUGGCUGCCUUGGUAGCGCAAGUGUCCUUGAACUUUUCGAACUCCUCUUCCGUAAGUGUCGGAUUUUCCUCCAGAAUCUUGGACAGGGGUUCAUCAGCCUCAAUAGCUCGUUUCACCCUCCCUUUCCAGGAGGCCAAAUAAUUGAUGAACAUGCCCAUGGCGUGAUUGUUAAUCUUUUUCAUCUUCGGAUCAUUCCACGGUUGUUCUAUGUUAUCAUCCCGGUCGGGGAACUUGAAUCUCUUGUGCAACUUCGUUAGGAGCAACUGCGUCAAAUGUUCUUUACUCCUUAAGUCAUCGUCGUUGAUGCUCGCGCAUUCCCAUAGGCUGCAUCCUAGUUGGUUCCCAUAGCACUUGCCAGGUUCUUCCGGCUCUAACGGCUCAAACUUGCCAGGUGCCAUCUUUGUGAUCACAAGUCGUCCAAUCCCUAGUUUGUUAGGUUUUCGUAUCCUCUGCUUCUUAAGCUUCCUCUUUUCGGUAGCGGCAUCGGGGCCGGUACCUUCCACGCCGGUAUCUUCCCCGUCGGUACCUUCCCCACCGGUCUCGGCGCCGCCAUUGGUGCCGGCGCCGUCGGUGUCGAUGUCGGCGUUAGUACCAUCAUCGAGGCCGACCUGCAAACCUUGCUUAGCAGUCAAAUAGUCGAGGUACUCUUGUUCACCCUCAUAAUCCAACUCGUCUGCACCUUGGUCAGAAGGCCCAGUUCUUCGUUGUUCGACAUGUUUCCUAUGAUUAAGUGUCCUCAUUUAUUUCUAAAAGUAUGAAUAAAUGAGAAAUGACAUAAAAAGAAAUCUAUGUGCCAGCACUCGAUAUGCCAAUUAUGUAUCACAAAUCAUGCCUUUAUUCACGGGAAAUUUCGGUAUGACCUUUGCUAAAAAUGGACAUAUCGAGUGCCUGAAAUUCACCGGAACGGAAAUGAAUCAACAUUCCGGCGUAACAUAGGCCACUCGGAUCAUUUUCCAAACAUGACAUGUCCAAAACAUGACAUAUCCACAUAUCACAUGUCCAGUUCAAAUUUGCAUAUAAAUUCAGCUAAUUUUGAAACCUAGCUAAAUUCAUAACUAAAUAGAUAACCUAAUUAACAUACUGCCCUACCUAAAACCUAAGUAAAUUAACCGAAGAACCCUAGCAGAGAGAGGGGGGGUUACAUAGGGUGCAGGGGCGAGGAGGCAGGCCCGACGAUGGCUGAGGUUGGGAGGGGAGGAAGCAAAGGAGGGAGGCGAGGGUCGACGGGUCGGGGGCGAGCGCCUGGAUCGGGGGCGAGCGCGGGCGCCGGGGUCGGGGGCGAGGGCCGGGUCUGGGGCGAGCGACGGGGGAAGAGAGAGUGGGGAUUUGGGGGAAAAGGCGGGAUGAAGCAGGGAUAGUGAGAAUUUUGGGUUAAGUGGACGUAGCAGCAGCGCGUUUGUACAAAAUGCGCUGCUACUACCUUCAGUAGUUGUAGCAGUUUAUAUGAAAUGCGCUACUACUACCUUCAGUAGUUGUAGCGGUUUAUACGAAAUGCACUACUACUACUGCCAGUUUUACUUUUUCUUUUCCUUUAUUUUCUCCCAAUUUUAUUUCCCGAGAGCAAUGAACGAAGGGAGGGCGAUAUAUAUUGCAUCAUUUGACGGUUAAAUAUGUAUGCAAAAUAGGAACAUAUAUAUUACAUCAUUGGACCCAUGCAUAAUAAUGGCUAAGUGUGUAUACAAAAUAGGAACAUAUAUAUAUAUAUAUAUAUAUAUAUAUAUAUAUAUUAUAUAUUACAUCAUUUGACCGGUAACAUACGGUUCCUCAGCGCUGACGUUUUCGUUUUUGAGUCAGCUUCGUUCCCUUCUUGUUCGUCGAAGAAUAAUUGAGCCCCUCAUUGUGACGAUUUUUCUUAGGUAAUGUAGUAUUAAUUCUUCUUUUGACAUAUACUUCAUCAUCAUCGUCAUCUUCCCUCAUUGGGUUGCCGUACUGAUCAUAGUCUUCCUCGUUGGUGACUCCAUCCAUUCCAAUGAUGUUCCUUUUGCCUCUCCUCACGACAACACGACUGGGAUUGCAUGGGUCGGUUAUGAAGAAGCAUUGAGUCACGUGCUUAGCGUGUACCCAUGGCUCGUUUUUUGCGAUAGCGUUCACGGUAGCGCUCUUGGCAUCGGGUAUACUCAUGGUAGUGAAAAUCCGGUUUUCUCUUUCGACAUUCUUUGCCCAUCUGACACGGAACAUCGUCAUGUUGUGCAGUCCAGAGUAGUCAAGCUCCCAGAUCUCCUCGACCCUUCCACAAAAUUGUUCAAUUGCGCCGUUGUCGCUGCCGGUCAUGCAUUCCAUCGUCACCCCUGAGUUCUGAUCAUCACUGUCCAUAUCUUUGGCCUCCGUGUAGAACGUGUAUCUGUUGAUAUCAUAUGCCUGAUAGGUUACGAGGUUGGGCGAGGGGCCAUGUGCUAAGGCGUAUAUGAGCAAUCCGUCCUUAGAUCCCUCCUCCGGCGGAUUAGCAAUAAUAUGCUCUUUCAACCAAUGCAGGAAAGUGGAGUUGUGCUCUCUAGUAACUUCGGCGUUCGUCCUGCAUACCCCCUGGUCACGAUACUUCUUUGCGAUAAUUUCUUUGUGCAGUGCCACGAAAGGAUCUACCUCGUCUAGGUGUUGUAGCACUAACAAGUUUGCUCUGUCAAAGUCACUGCGUCGAUCUGACUAUGCCACGUGCAGUUCCCUGCAACCGUUGCAGUGACCAUCUCCUUCGAGCCUUCCAUCGUGCUUGUUAACGGGCAAACCAACACUAACACCAGGCGGUUGGUCUGCGCCAUAUAGAAAAUCCUCACAGAAAGAGAUGCACUCUUGUGUCAAAUAGCCCUGGACGAUGCUUCCAUCCGGACAGGACAUGUUACGAACGAAUCCUUUGAUGAUCCCAUUCAUCCUCUCAAACGUCAUCAUGUUGUGCAGGAAUGACGGCCCCAGGUCUAUUAUGUCAUCCACAAUAUGGACACACAGAUGCACCAUCACGUCAAAGAACGCGGGCGGGAAGUACAUCUCAAGCUAAUUCAGUAUCACAACGAUCUCUUCCUAUAGCCUUCGGAGCUGCUUCACGCUGAUCGACUUUCGAGAGAUGAUGUCGAAAAAGUUGCAUAGACCAAUAAGCGUGUCAUGGACGUCCUUGUCCAUUAUCCCUCUAAGGGCAACAGGUAGUAUCUGCGUCAUCAUCACAUGACAGUCACGAGACUUCAUCCCGCUGAACCUUUUCUUGUCCGUGUCUAGAUAUCUGCUUAUCUUGCCAUAGUAACCGUAACUAACUUUGACUCCGGUAAGGCACUUAAAGAAUUGAUUGAUCUCAGCCUGACUUAAGGUGAAGCAAGAAGGGGGGAAAUAAUCCUCUUUCUUUAUUUUCUUGCCCUUCUUCUCCCGUGCCUCUGUCUCCGUCUCUGUCUCGUCUGACAUUUUACGGGGCGGCAUGUGCAGAUCUUCCCUGAUUUUCAAAUCUUGCAAGUCUUUUCUUGCCUUUGGCCCAUCCUUGGUCUUAUCCGGCAUGUUCAUCAGUGUUGCGAGCAAGCUCUCAAGGACAUUCUUACAGAUAUGCAUUCGAUCAAGGCAAUGAGGUGUAUCGAGUCUGUGCCAGUACGCCAAGUCCCAGAACACAGACCUCGUCUUCCAUACCUUCAGCAGCGGCUCCGGCGCCUUUCUCAUCGUCUUUCCCGGCGCGGGGCACUCCUUCCAGUUUUUCAACAGCUCAUCGAUUUCGGCACCGCUCCGCUUACGUGGAGGUCCUCGAUGCUCAGCGUGACCAUUGAAUAGAUCUCCAUGGUUUCUCCACGGGUCCUCCUGUUCAAGCCAUCUUCGAUGCCCGAUGUACACAAUUUUCCCAGACCCGCCAUCUUUCCUUAACGUUAGCUGCUGAGACGUCAUAUCAUCUAUGCACCGCGUGCAUCCGCAAUAUCCAUGGCACACCUGGCCUACCACAUAUCCGUAACCGAGAUAGUCCUGCAGUGUCGUGAUCUGCGCGGCUCUCAUGUUGAAAUACUUGCCUUUGCUGGCGUCCCAUGUCUUGGCCGGUGUUUUCCAUAACGUGUCUAACUCCUCUUGAAGUAGCCCCAGAUACAAAUUAAUAUUAUUUCCUGGUUGUUUCGGCCCUUGAAUAAGCAUUAUCAUGUGAAUGUACUUCGAUUUCAUGCACAACCCGGGGGGGUUAUACAUCCAUACAAACAUGGGCCAUGUGCUAUGGUUGGUGUUCUGGUUGCCAAACGGAUUCAUGCCAUCGGUACACGUGCCGAGCACGAUCUUGCUUGCAUCACAUUCAAAAUACCGAUAGAAGCUGUUCAACGCUCUCCACUGGCUUCCAUCCUUCACGUGUCUCAGCUUCGGAUCAUCUCCAUCGUCGGGCUUCUUCCUCUCCGUGUGCCAGCGCAUUAGCUUUGCUUCCUUGGGAUCUACAAAAUACCUCUGGAGAUGGGGAGUGAUCGGUAAGUACCAUACAACUUUCUAGGGACAUUUCUUCCCGGCCUUCUUGUAUCGAGAAGCAUUGCACAGCGGACAGCUUGUUUUUUCCGCAUGCUCCUUCCGAUAAAUUAUGCAAUCGUUGAUGCAUGCAUGGCCUCAUCAACACUAGUAGGACAUAGAUUACACGCGGGAAGAACAUCCUUUAGGUACUGGAGAUGCACAUCGAGGCUAGUGUCGGUCCAUUUGUUUUUAGCCUUCGUCUUCAGGAGUUGGAGCUUGAAACUCAAGCGGGUCACCUCAGGAUUGCAACCAUCAUAUAAUGGAGUGUUCGAGUCUACCACCAGUUGCUCCAGCUUAGCCUCCUCUCUAGAUGCAGCUCUCUCAGUACUCGUCUCCUUGCGAAGCAAUGCUUGAACAUGAGGGUCACGCACGAUUGAACUUAGUACCGACGAACUCUGCUGCAUGGAGUCCAUGUCGUUCUCUCCUCUGCCAUGUCUGGCCCCUUCUCCUCUGCCAUGUCCGGCCUCUCCCCCGCCGCCAUUAUCAAUCAUCUCUUCUUCUUGCCCCGUGUCAUCAUUGCGUGCCCCGUCGGCAUCCUCAACAUCGUCAUCCUCAUCUUCAGUUAUCCACCGAGUAUAGCCAUCCAUGAAACCAGUCAUGAGCAGGUGCGCUUCGACACGACCAUCGUCAUAGGGGUCGAGCCAAACUAUUCCUUUGCAUUUUCGACACGGACAUAAAACCUCCGUCAGGUUAUUUUCUUUCAUGUCCUGCACAGCCGACCCCAACCACCUGUUCACCAUCGUUCCACUGACCAUCAUGAACGUCUGCACGGUAAUAAUAAAACAAAUUGAUUAUAAAAAUGCGUGCAUGCAUCAAAGUCAUACAAAAAUUCGGCAUGACCUUCCCUAAAAAUAGGACAUAUAUGGAUCUAGAGUUUGCCCAGAAUUCGCCGAAAUGGAAAUAAAUCGACAUUUUUGCAAAACAUAGGCAACUCAAAAGCACAAUUUGGCGUCAACUCAUGCCACACACACAAUUUCCACAAACAUAUCACACACACAUAAACAUAUUUCCAUUUUGCAAAAGCAUGAAAUUUUCAUCACCUCUAUCUCGAGAUCGAGCACACGGUGGAGACGAUGUUGUAGGGAGAUCAAAAGUGCACAAAGCUCUUCUUGACAAAGAUAGAUCUAGUUAGGGGGCAAAUAGGUCACUUAACUAAAUCUUACAUCUACCUAGCUACCUAAUUUGGGAGGAGACAACUUCAACUAGUGGAGGGGAAGGAAAAAGAGAAAGGAGAUGCAUUAAUGGAGGUGGUGUAGUUAGGUAGGAGUAAUGAAGAGAGAGAAAGGUAGAUAGAAGAGAGAGAGUAAUGGGGGACAAGUAUUAAGGAAGAAGAAGAGUGAGAGUGCGAGGUAGGGGAAACGGAAGAGAGGAGGGGGAGGGGGACAGUGGGGAAAAAGGUGGUGGGUUGGUGCGGAUUAGCAGUAGCGCGGGACAUAAAAUGCGUUGCUGAUAAGAAUGUAGCAGCAGCGCGCUUUUGGCAGAAGCGCUACUGCUAAGUGGGAUAAAAGUGUGUCCAAUUUGAAAAUUAGCCGUAGCGACCUCAAAAAAACCACGCUACUAAUACUGCUUUAGCAGUAGCGCGCCUAACGGAACCGCGCUGCUGGUAAAUGGAGUUGGGGGCAUUGUCGGUCGAUAUUUGUAGCAGCGCGGGUUACACAGACCGCGCUACUACUAAACACUUGUCGGUAGCGGGUUUUCCACACCCGCGCUGCUGCUAAUUAGCAGCAGCGCUCCUUUUUGAGCCGCGCUGCUGCUAAGAUUCUGUGUAUAGGGUUUUCCCUAGUAGUGCUAGCUACUAGAAAAACAAGGAUGGGGAAUUCUUAUGGUGCCUCAGUGUCACGUGAAUGCCAAGUCACCCGGCCCAGCAGGGCCGUCCCAAGCGAGGGUGUCGGCCCAAUCGCAGGGAGAGGACUGGGUCCAGUGAGUGUGUAUUUAGGGGUUGCGUGUGUGGAGUGCAGGGCAUCGUUGGAUCACUAAUCUGUAUCGGCUCCGUUGGGCAAUCUCCUUCCCCCCACCUCCUGGCUCUCUCCCCGAUCCCCUUUCUUGCUGCCACGAACCCUAGCUUCAAUUUGUACCUCUGAUCUGAUGACUGAGUGAAUCAAAAAUACAAGUGGGAGACCUAGAUCCGUGUCAUCUGGUAUUCAGAGCCCUCGAUCCCCACCCAAAAUUUUCCUCUUCGCGUCUUGAUCUGGCGCCGCCGAAAACCCGCAGCAUCAGGGAGAUCAUGGCGGGGAUGGACGUUCAGAAGCAGCUGGAGGAAGCAGCGAUGGAGCGGAGCGGCAUCGCUAAGGCCCUCCUCUCGAUCCAGCAAACGCUGGAUCGGAUGGCUCCUGCGGUCGUGAAGAUGGAGCCAGCGGUCGCGAAGAUGGAGCCGACGCUCGUCACCCUUGAGCCGGUCAUCCAGCACCUCGCAGCCUGGCGGCCUACCGUGGAUGCGGCGGUGGGAGAGCUUCAGGCAUACCUCGGCGACAUUUGAGCGCAGCUAGAGAGGAUCGCUGCGGGUGCCCCGUCCACCAGCAAGCCGACCCCAGAACCGGUUCAGGCGGACGCGCCACUUCUCCACAUCGGGCAGAGUGACGACGGUCACGAGAAAAUUGGCUACUGUGGGGCUCUCCUUCCACGGGUUUCGGCUAGUGAGGGGCCGCUCCUCACUACGCUGGUCCCGGCCAAUGGUACGUACCGGACCCCAUUCCCCUCUGCACCUCUACCGCCUCCGCCGUCCUUGGACUUGGUGGGCAGUAGCACUAGUUUUGGUGGAAGUAGAUCCAACAACAAACAUAUGGAGUGUCCAGAGUUUGAUGGUGACAACCCCACCGGCUGGCGUCUCCGUUGUGAGGCCUAUUUCCGCGUCGGUGGCAUUGACCCGCAGGUGUGGGUGGACACUGCCGUUGUCCACUUCACCGGGGCAGCGGCCUUGUGGCUGGAGUGGUCUCAGACUCAAUUGAGAAUCACAUGGUGGGAUCCGUUUUGCGCCGCUGUGUUGGACAAAUUCGGUCGCUCAGAAUUUCAUUUACUGCUGUGAAAAGUUUCUAAACUGAAGCAAGCGGGUUUUGUGUUAGAAUAUGCCGAACAAUUUAACAUAGCAAUGCAUAGCUUGUUGGCGCAUCAUAGCUCUUGGGAUCCUCUGUUUUUCACCACUCAUUUUGUGUAAGGGCUCACUCAUGAUAUCAAAGUAGCUGUCAUGUUACAUCGACCUCCCGACUUGGAAACUGCUAUUUCUCUUGCUGCUUUACAGGAAGAGGUGGUGGAGAUGGUCUGCCAACAACAUGAAGGAAUGGGGGCAUACCGUGUCGGGGCCUCCAACACGCGCUCGACGCGCUCCCCGUCGAGGCCUCCUUCAGCGCUCGCCGUACCAACCACUUCCAUGGUGGGGCGCAUGGCAAACUCCACGCCAUCACCCACCGCUCUCGACACUCGUCGAGGUCUCGACAUCGCCAAAUCUCCAGUGGACGAGAAACUCAAGGCCCUGCGUACUUUUCGCAAGGCGCGCGGCUUAUGUUUCACUUGUGGCGAGAGAUGGAACCCAGGUCACACUUGUGUGGCUACCAUGCAACUUCAUGUUGUGGAAGAGCUUGUGGGCAUGCUCUCCCCACCAACAUCCCCAGAACCAGUCUCCGUCCAGAAUGAGAGCUCUGGGGAGGAUCUCUGCUUAUUGUCUGCGGCAGCAAUUGCUGGUACUGAAGCGCCCAAGGCUUUUCGGCUCACCGGCAACAUUGGGGGCAAGGUUCUGCUGAUGCUCAUCGACUCCAGGAGCUCCCACAGCUUCAUCAAUACAGAGAUUGCUCAAGCGUGGCCAGCCAUUCGUCCUAUGCAAGUGCCACUGAACGUGAAGGUAGCGGAUGGCGCCAUUACCAAUUGCACACUGGAGUUGCCUUGUUGUGAGUACUUGGUUCAGGGGGUCACAUUCAAUUCUGCUUUCAAACUUUUUCCCUUGGGAUUCUAUGAUAUAGUCCUCGGAAUGGAUUGGCUGGAGUCCAGAGGCAUUAUGACAGUUAACUGGUCUAAGAAACAAAUGUCAUUCCAACACAAUGGGCAAGUGGUUCACUUGUUAGGGCAAUCUCAGCAGACAGCGACAUGCAACAUGAUUUCUAUGGCACAGCUCAAUCUUUUGCAGUCCCGCAGAGACAUUGCUCACGUGCUCUUGCUAUCAGCGAGCAAACCAGAAGUGGAUCAGGCUCCGGUUCCUGCAGUUAUUGAGGAGCUACUUCAAGAAUUUUCGGGGCUGUUCAAAGAACACAGCAGACUGCCGCCUCAUCGAGAAUUCGACCACAUUAUUGAGCUCAUUCCUGGAGCCCAACCUGUCAACAGACGCCCAUAUCGGUACAGCCCAGCGCAAAAGGAUGAAAUUGAGCGGCAAGUGUCCGAGAUGUUGUGACAAGGUAUUAUUCAGCUCAGCCGCAGUCCCUUUUCGUCCCCGGUGCUUUUGGUUCAGAAAAAAGACGGGGAAUGGCUAUUCUGCAUCGACUAUCGCUUUCUCAACGCAAUCACCCUCAAAACUCGCUACCCCAUUCCAAUCAUUGACGAGCUUUUGGAUGAAUUACACGGGGCCAUGGUCUUCACAAGUCUGGAUCUGCGCUCUGGAUAUCAUCAGAUUCGGAUGCGCCCUGGGGACGGAGCUAAAAUAGCGUUUCAGACACAUCAUGGGCAUUUUGAGUUCAAAAUGAUGCCACAGGGGGUCACUGGCGGGCCUUUUACGUUCCAGUCAGCUAUGCAUAUAGUUCUCAAACCAUUUGUGCGCAAGGGGGUCCUGGUGUACAUUGACGACAUUCUCGUCUUUAGUGCAACUCUGAAGGAGCACGUGUUGCUGUUGCGAGCCGUGUUCCAAAGACUGGAGCAGUAUUCUCUCAAGGUUAAGCUGACGAAAUGCGCCUUUGCACAGCCACAACUCCGAUACUUAGGCCAUGUCAUCAGUGCGGAUGGCGUGCACAUAGAUCCAUGUAACAUCGAGAAGGUGCAACAAUGGUCUUCACCAUCGUUUGUUAAAGAGCUCUGUCAGUUCCUUGGUUUGGCAGGCUACUAUCGCAAAUUUGUUUGCCACUAUGGAGUGAUUAGUCGCUGCCUUACAGAGCUACUGAAGAAAGGUGUGCCCUUUGUGUGGACAGCAGAUCAUGAGCAAGCAUUCGGAUCUCUCAACACGGCGCUGACCACAGCCCCUGUACUGGCGUUGCCUAACUUUGCCAAGCCGUUCGUGGUGGGGACAGGUGCGUCCAACAUUGGGAUUGGCGUUGUUCUGAUGCAACAACAGCACCCAGUGGCCUUCCUCAGCCAAGCCUUGGGUCCGCGACAUCGGGCACUGUCCACAUACGAGAAAGAGUGUCUCGCCAUCCUGAUGGUAGUAGACAGAUGGCGACCGUAUCUUCUUUUCUCAGAAUUCACCAUUCGCAUGGAUCAUCGGAGCCUCACUUGUCUGGACGAACAGAAACUCACAACCCCAUGGCAACACAAGGCACUAACCAAACUGCUUGGGCUGCAAUACAAGAUCGAGUAUCGGCAAGGGGCUAACAACUUUGCAGCGGACGCUCUGUCACGACAACCACCUGUUCAUGCAGUGGUAGCUGCGGUCUCAGUCUGUGUGCCCACCUGGCUAGAAGAUGUCAAGAAGGGCUAUAGGAAGGAUCAUGAUUGUUGUCGCAUGCUGGCCUCACAUGCACGCGGGGUGUCAUUGGCAGGGCCUUUCUCUGUCAUCGAUGGACUGCUUCGCUACAAAGGACGGGUCUGGCUGGGCAAUGAUGUGGAUAGCCAACAAAAGCCGCUGCAUGAACUGCAUGCAGGGGCGAUUGGAGGGCACUCUGGAGUGCAAGCAACCUACAGUCGAGUGAUCAAGCUCUUUGCUUGGCCCAAGCUCAAGAGCACAAUCAAGAAGUUCAUCGCUAACUGUUCCAUCUGUAAGCAAGAAAAACCCGAGCACGUUCGGUACCCCGGGCUACUUCAGCCUCUCCCCGUCCCCGAACAAGCUUGGGAGAUGGUUUCUCUGGAUUUUGUGGAAGGAGUGCCCACCUCCAUGGGAUACAACUCCAUACUCGUUGUCGUUGAUAAGUUGACUCGGUAUGCACAUUUUAUUCCACUUCGGCAUCCCUUCACAGCCCUCCAAGUGGCCAAGGCUUACAUGAACAAUGUUUUCAAGUUGCAUGGACCCCCAGAUAAGAUGGUAUCCGAUCGCGAUCGAGUUUUCACCAGCAAGGUGUGGCAGGAACUGUGCAAGUUGACCCAUACCACUCUUAACAUAUCUUCAACGCGCCACCCUCAGACUAAUGGUACCCCCGAGCGGGUGAAUCAAUGCAUGGAGCUUUAUCUACGCUGUUUCGUCCACAACUGUCCGCACAAGUGGGCAGAUUGGCUGGUGCUGGCCGAGUUCUGGUACAACACGUCAUAUCAUUCGACGUUGAAAACCUCUCCAUUCGAAGUCUUGUACGGUCACAAACCACGUUUCUUUAGGAUCACGAAUGUGGCCGACGACACCGUCAAGGAUCUGGCUGCGUGGACCCGUGACAGAGCAGCAGUGAUGGGUCUCCUGAAGCAACAUAUUCAUCGGGCGAAUCAAGUUAUGAAGAGCAAGGCUGAUAUGCACCGUUCGGAUCGAGUGUUUGUGGUCGGCGACCGGGUCUAUCUAAAGCUUCAGCCCUAUGCACAAUCUUCUGUGGCGGCUCGAGCUAACCAUAAAUUGGCUUUCAGGUACUUUAGCCCCUUUCAGGUCCUUGCUCGUGUGGGUAAGUGGUGUAUCGGCUAGCCCUUCCUGAUCAAGCCAAGAUACAUCCGGUCAUCCACGUUUUCCAGCUCCGAGCUGGGCUACCUCCUUCAAAAACGGCACUUCCUGAGCUACCCGUGCUGGAUCAGGACCUCCUUCAGCUGCAAGUUCCUGAAGCCAUUCUGGGGCGCCGGAAGAUAGCUCGCGGGACACGCACGGUCGAUCAAGUGUUCGUCAAGUGGUCAGGUUUCCCAUCAUCGCUCGCCUCCUGGGAUGAUGAAAUUCCUCUCAAGUCAAGAUUUCCCAGAGCAUUGGCUUGGGGACAAGCCAAAUCUCAAGGAGAGGGGAAUGUCACGGGAACGCCAAGUCACCCGGCCCAGUAGGGCCGGCCCAAGUGAGGGUGUCGGCCCAAUCGCAGAGUCCAGGGAGAGGACUGGGUCAAGUGAGUGUGUAUUUAGGGGUUGCGUGUGUGGAGUGCAGGGCAUCGUUGGAUCACUAAUCUGUAUCGGCGCCGUUGGGCGAUCUCCUUCCCCCCACCUCCUGGCUCUGUCCCCGAUCCCCUUUCUUGCUGCCACAAACCCUAGCUUCACUUUGUACCUCUGAUCUGAUGACUGAGUGAAUCAAAUACAAGUGGGAGACCUAGAUCCGUGUCACUCAGCCGCUAUGCGCUAGAGUGUUAAGGCCAGAUAUUUCCCUCAAGGAGAUUUCUGGGUGUCAAGAUGCUCGAACGGUUGUUCUUCCACUUGGAGGAGCAUCCUUUUCAGAAAAUGAUCUUGUACGUAUGGGCUUAAUCUGAAGAACUAGCAAUGGUUCUAGUAUUAGUAUUGCACACAAUAAUUGGAUCAGAACAGUUGGGUGCCUGAAAACACAAGUUGUUAGGCACACACAACAAAUCAGCCAUGUCAACGACUUACUAAAUUCGCAUGGGACUAGCUUGGGGAGGAGAGCAAAUUGGUUGUUCUUUUUACUCCCAAAAAUAUUGAUGACAUUAAGCAGAUUGCCAUUGGUGGACCAGACUCUGAAGAUUAUAUAACGUCAAAUUUUACUAGGAAUAGACAGUUUACUGUUUUCUUUGUGUAUCAUCUUUGCAUGGCACAAACUUGGUGGAAGGCGGAUGGCUUGCUCUUUAGGGAUGCCGAGGUGCCUAAUAAAGUGAAGGUUUAUGUCUGGAGUAUGCUUAAGAAUGGAUUGGCAGUGCGGGAAUAGCUGCACCAUUGGACUAGAUAUCAAAGAAGCGGUGCCGUGUGUGGCUUGUGGAUGAGGUGACUAUAUUAUUGCACCAUUUCUGGUGGUGCCAUUAUUCCAAUAUAUUUUGGAGAUGCCUGCAAUCAGAUAUGGGUGCUAGUAUUAUGGCGCCACGGUCGAACGUCCACACCCACAGUGACUUGUGUGGAUGGUUCAGGGAUUUGUUGGUUCAGGCGUAGGAAAACGAAAAGAAGUUGAUCAGAACUACAUAUCCAAAUAGCACUAACAAUCAAAAUUUAUCAUCACUAACCUGCUAGUGGCCUUUCAGUGCCUCUGGGUAAGUUGUGACUUUGACACCACAUACGGGCAUCCUGGCUUGCUAGUGAUAACACUUCAUCACAAACUGCUAGCCUCUCAGUGAUAAUAGUUCAUUGCAGGUUGAAUUUGCUCCUUUUAUUGCUUGCCUAUAUUGAUGUCGGUACCAACAAUGCACGCAAAUGAAAAUUUUGGAAACACAUGAACAGAAUAUGCAUGCAUACAUCACUCAUUUGCGGAAGUUGCUUUCCAUAGAACAAAAAAUGAACAUUGACACACUUCACAACAAACAUAUAUCUGGAACAUAGAUACUUCUACCACAUUACAAACAAUAGUUUAUCCAUCAAGCAAAUUAACAAACUAAAAAAGGAACAUACAUAUUACCCUGAUAAAGGAUGUUGGAGUACCGCCUCCCUGGGGACUUCGCGAGCGAGAGAGCUCUCUGUGCCUUCCAUUUCCGGGUGGGGUGCCGCAAGGGCCUCUCGGGGGUUCUACACGCCAUCCAAUCUACAACAUUACAAAGAGUAGUCUAUCAAUCGAGCCACUUAACAAACCAACAUAUAUAUGGAACUUAGAUACCUCCACCACAUUACAAAGAUUAGUCUAUUCGUCAAACCACUUAACAAACUUGACUAAGGACAUACAUAUAAAUUUAAAUAUGCCUAAACUAAUCAUAAUCUCGGGUAGUCUAUCUAUCGUGCCUCUUAGCAAACUAAUGGGCUCUCCAUAGGAAGGAGAUGAUGAGAAUAAUUAUCUCACCAAUCUAUGUCAAAUCCAAUGGCCAGUGUAGCAAGUACCGAUGAAACCAGCCGGUGCUUGCACCAAUAGGUAAAUUUGUAGCACCACUCAUCAUCUUAAUUUGUGUAAUGCCACCAAAAUAAGACUCUCCAUAAAACAAAAACUAGCAUGACAUAAAAUAUUCAUCGAUCUAUUAUUUUGGAUCAAAUACAAGCCAUCUUUAAGAAAUAAGAAAUUAGUUAACCCAGUACUUGACUUAAUCAUUGGUGUGUUUACAACGGACAAAACACUCUAAGUUUAUCCAGAUGAGGUUCACCUUUUUCUGGAGUAUCUCCCUUCCAACUAAUGGCAAAAAAGGCAAAUAUUUAUUGUGUGCAGUGCAACUAAAUGGAUAUAUGUUUCACCACAAUAGUUGUUCUGUAGUUUUCAACUUACGUAGAGAUCAAUAAAAGGCAUAAUUGCUUUUUUCAAGAACAUAUAAACCUCAUAUAGUAAUCUUAUUCUUUACAUCAAAGAUAUUACUCCUUUCAUUAGAAUGAGUUAAUGAACUUAAGUUAUUCUUCAACACAUAGUAUAAAAUCAUGGCGUGCCUUAGUUGUGUGUAAAGGUAACAAGUUUCAUCAUCUGCCUACUAAGAAGUGUGUAGUGCUACACCAUCAGAAUAGUUGCACUAAACUCUAAAUUCUUAACAGAUUUCUACAAAGAUAGAGGUAAUGCUACAAAAAAAAUCUAUAAGUUAAAAUACAUCGAACCCUACAAAAAAUUGGUUGAAAUACAUCAACCCCUAUAGAUUUCUAUAACCAAAUGCAUGAACUAACCCUAUAAAAUUACAUCCGCACGAAGGUUAGUCACACAUAAAAGCCUAGAAGUUCUGUAAUGUAAGACUAAUCGAAGUUCACCAUCAUAAUCGCUAUCACGACUAAAGAGCAAGGCAGGAGUAUAUUUGGUAUACCACCUCACAUGAUGGCGUGGGAGACGUGAUGUCCAACGACAGUGUGGAUUUGACGGAACCAAAGAUACCAGACGGAGGCUAUGAUGCCGCGACAUUCGAUGUGAUGCCCGACAAGAGAGCGCCGCUCCGGAAGGCGUGGGAGCGGCUGGACUAGGUGGCCGCGGGGACUUCAUAUAGUGUGCCAUUGGAAGGGAUCCAUGACCGGGCAUAGUGCAAUCUCACAGGACAGAGGCUCGCCAGCGGCGGUGAGAGUUAGGGAAUUCACAUGGAGAAGAUAUAAAACAUGUACAACACAACUCUUACUGGUGAGAAAAUGAAAGCGACUAUUUUCCUACAAUAACUUAGGCGGGUCAAAUGUGGCAGCCGUACGUGACAAAUAUUCGUUCACUCUGGACAACGGAACACAUGAUCACUGACCGAUCAAUUUCAAACCCGUCUGUAAUAACCAUGCAGUAGAUCUCAAAAUACCUCAUCACUGACGUACCAUGGAAGACUCAUCAGUGAUGAUGCUCAUCACUGAUGCGUGGACAAUGGUCGGUCAGCACUACAGGGUCAGUGAUAUUCUAAUCUGUAGUUGUGGAUUGUGCAAGGCUUCUAUAAGAUCUGAGUUGUGAGAACCAAUGUGAGUUUCACUAGUAAAACUAUCUUUCAUGUGGAGCAGUGGCACAUGCACACCAAUAGGAGGACAUACAAGUCGUAUCUCAGCGGCAGGAACGAUGGCAUCUGCCAGGGCAUGGGCGGAUCUAAGGCAAUGCUGACCGUGUAUGGGCCAAUAAUCAAGACAGAGGAGGAGAGGCCAUCCCAGGGAGUUCAUUGUAGGCUCAUGCGCUUUUACCCUCUCUAGAGUGGUGGAGUUACAAGCAUUUUUGCGUGUCCUUGCACUAGAGAAGGAAGUUGGAGUCUAGACGAUCGUCUUGGAGACAGACUUCAAGAUGGUGGUGAAGCUCAACUCUGAAGGGAAGAUGUGAAGGGCAUGCUCCAAACUUUUCUUGAGUCGAAGAUCACUUGGGUUCAUAGAAAGAUGAAUUGUAUUGCCUACAUCUUACCUAAUGAAGGUUGUCGGCAUGAGUUGUGAAAAACAUCUACUAGGACCGUUUUGAACUCUGGCACUGCCGAGAACUCUGGCAACUUCUAUCUAAAAAAGAUUAAUUACAGGUAUCUUUUUCCUUAUCAAUAAAUCGAGUUUAAAGAAAUUCAGUUUAAAAUAGGAGCAAGGUGAUUACCAACGUAUUUUUUAAACACAGCACAUAUGCAAGCGCUCUGUCCCUCUAACCAUCCAACCACAGGUUGGUUCGCGAUUACUAACAUACUUAUUUUAUUCUGUAUGUAUAUCUUAAUGCAUGGCUAUAAUAAGAUGAUAUAUUUUUCGUCCAAAAGUUCCAUGUAUUACACUAAUUGACUAGGGAACUAAAUCAUGACUAGUAAUAGUACUCCCUCCAAAACAAAUAAAUGCACUACCAAAUAGUAGGUAUAUAUUUUUCUAAAAAUAAGAAUAUUACUAUUAAAUACUAGUAUACCAAAGAUAUAUUUCACAGUAUACCAAAGAUAUACCUAAAAUAUAAGAAUAUUUAAUAGUAGUAUAUCGAAGAUAUUCUACAAUUAAAUACUAUUACCUUCAUUCCAAAUUAUAAGAAUAUUCCUAUAAAAUAAUAUCACCUCUGUUCUAAUAUAUAGUAGCAGAGAUAAUAUUAUUUAGUAGUGAUAUAUCUUUAUUCCUAAUGACUAUUAAAUACUAGUAUCCCAAAGAUAUAUUUAAUAGUAUACAGAAGAUAUACAAUAAUUAAAUACUAUUUCCUCUGUUCCAAAAUAUAAGAAUAUUACCGUCAAAAGUAGUAUAUCUUUGUUCCAAAUAUAAGAAUAUUACUAUUAGAUACUAGUAUACCCAAUAUAUAUUUAAUACUAUACCAAAGAUAUACAAAAAAUAUAAUAAUUUUUAAUAGAAAUAUACCAAAGAUAUCUACUAUUAAAUACUAGUAUUAAUUAAAUAAAUUUGUAGUUCCACACGUGGUCCCCACCUUGCCCCUUGCCUUCCAUUUCAGUUCAUAAAAGCCAACGCACGCUUCGGCUCCUCUGCUGCUCGCUCACAUUCUUCUCAUCCUGCUCUCCUCGACCCACAUUGUGCGUCUGCUCGACCGAUCCAUCGCGAUGUCUAGCUCGGACGUCAACGCCAUAUCCGCCGCUAACCACGAGGAGCAGAGCCUCGCCGCAUCCGCCCUCACCCCUGCGGCCGCCGUCGCCUAGGGGAAAGGGAAGGUGCAUGCGCAACAGGAUACUGUGCCAGUGGUUCGCAAGCGCAAGUCCAGGAGACGCCGGCAGAAGCAGAAAACUCCACCCCCAGCGGCCACCAGAGAGGAGCUUGAAUCCUGGGAGUCCCGGGAAGGCCCCUUGAAGGUGCUUGCGCUCCCGGCGCCAGGGGCCCACGUGCUCAUGCUGUCUCCGAUGACAAGAUGGUGAGCUGUGCUAGUGCCCCCACCCCGCGUGCAAACGCUUUUUCCGACGACAAGAUGGUGAGCCGCGCAAACUCGCCUCACUGCUACUAGUGAUUUGAAGUUAACCAGUGCCUAAUGAUUUGAAGUUACUGACAAUCUUUAAUCUAGUCAUGUGAAUUAGUACUGGUGCUUAAUAAAUUACUUGAUGUGUAUGUGCAAGAAUUACGUGAUUGGUUAUGUCCUUGAACAUUUUAAUCGUAGCGGUCUCAUCUGCCAGAUGGAGGGGAACGAGAUGAAGCCAGUCCAGGGGGUGCCGCCCAUGCGGGGGAGCAUUGCGGCUUAAAGCUCGGUUGGUAAGUACACCAUACUGGUUUUUCUGUCAGUAUCACGGCUGGUUUUUCGUCAUCAUUAGUAUUCUGAUAUUGGACUGAAGCUGGUUAGCUCUGUCCAUGCUGGAUUUUUGGUAUCAUUUGUAUGCUAAUAUUGGACUGAAACUUGUUACCUCUGUCCAUGCUGGUUUUUUUUGUCAUCAUUAGUAUAAUGAUAUAUUGGACUGAAACUGCACAUAUUUUCUUUCCAUUAACGUGGUCGGGCGGUGCUAUGCAUCAGUCGGGCCAUCCUGGCCACCUUACCCACCUGAUUUUAAUCAAAUUCCACCUAAUUU
rnacentral:lncRNA from 1 species